ACGCUGGCGGCGUGCCUAAUACAUGCAAGUCGAACGGUCUUUUCUAUGGAAGCUUGCUUCCACUGAAAAGAUAGUGGCGAACGGGUGAGUAACACGUGGGUAACCUGCCCAUAAGAGGGGGAUAACAUCCGGAAACGGGUGCUAAUACCGCAUAGUUUUCUUGAUCGCAUGAUCGGGAAAGGAAAGACGGCCUUUGUGCUGUCGCUUAUGGAUGGACCCGCGGCGUAUUAGUUAGUUGGUGAGGUAACGGCUCACCAAGACGAUGAUACGUAGCCGACCUGAGAGGGUGAUCGGCCACAUUGGGACUGAGACACGGCCCAAACUCCUACGGGAGGCAGCAGUAGGGAAUCUUCCGCAAUGGACGAAAGUCUGACGGAGCAACGCCGCGUGAGUGAAGAAAAGGUUUUCGGAUCGUAAAACUCUGUUGUCAGAGAAGAACAAGUUGGAGAGUAACUGCUCCAGCCUUGACGGUAUCUGACCAGAAAGCCACGGCUAACUACGUGCCAGCCGCGGC
rnacentral:rRNA from 1 species